UAUAUCUAUAUAUGUGUGUGUGUGUUUGUGUGUAAUAGACACACACACACACAUAUAUAUAUAUAUAUAUAUA